CGACUGCUAAUACCGCAUAAGCCCACGGGUCGGCAUCGACAGAGGGAAAGGAGCAAUCCGCUUUGAGAUGGCCUCGCGUCCGAUUAGCUAGUUGGUGAGGUAAUGGCCCACCAAGGCGACGAUCGGUAGCCGGACUGAGAGGUUGAACGGCCACAUUGGGACUGAGACACGGCCCAGACUCCUACGGGAGGCAGCAGUGGGGAAUAUUGCACAAUGGGGGAAACCCUGAUGCAGCGACGCCGCGUGGAGGAAGAAGGUCUUCGGAUUGUAAACUCCUGUUGUUGAGGAAGAUAAUGACGGUACUCAACAAGGAAGUGACGGCUAACUACGUG
rnacentral:rRNA from 1 species